rnacentral:lncRNA from 1 species
GCCCGGGCCCGCCCCCUGCCGGGACUCCGCGCGGCCCUAGCGCCCCCGGCCGGACCCUGGCUCGGGCGUCCCUCUCCUGGCUGUCCUGGGUCCUAGCGCUCGUUGGCCCAAUGUGACUCGAUUUCCCUGGCUAAGCUGGCAGUUUCGGGACUUGUAGGAGCUCCCGCUCUCCUGUCCCCAAUCCCCUCUGGGCUCCUCUCUGGUAAAACUUCGGCCAUCGACGUCUGGGUCUGUGGAAUCAAGAGCAAACGUGUGCCCCUCCGCGCGCCAGCCCGGGCCGCUCCAGCCCGCCCGCGCGGCGCUAGGCAAGGAGGGAAGAAGAGGGGACUCAGGGAAGGGGGCGUGGGGGGUUCCGAAUUCGAGUCUCGCACACGGAAGGCCCCUCGAAGGCUGCCGGGCGCGGCCCCGCGGAGAGCGCAGUUCCUUCAGGGUCUUCAUCGGGUCCCUCCCGAGGGCCGCGGGGGCCCGAGUUUCGAGGGCCGGGGGUGGGAGACGCUGUCCCGCCCCCGAGGUGCUGAAGCACCACCGCGGCCCUCCAACGGCACCUCCUCGAGACGGGGUCCCCGCAGCCGCCACCGCGGGCCGCUCACACCGGCCGCUAGGUGGCGCCAUUGCCCCGGCCAGCGCCUGGGGCCUCGCGGCUCGGGACGCCGACGGAGGUCGCGGCGGGGGACCCGGGAAGGGCGAGGGCGAAAGAGGAAGGCGGCCCUCCCAANNNNNNNNNNNNNNNNNNNNNNNNNNNNNNNNNNNNNNNNNNNNNNNNNNNNGUUGACUGACAGCCCGACUGCGCGGCCCGGACGGUCCCUCCGCUCCGGAUCCGGCGGGAGGGGGGAGGGGCGGGAUUUCCUGCGGGAGGCGCCGGGCCGGCCUUGGGAAAGGAGGAGAAGGCGGAGGAAGGGGCCCGGGGGGCCGGGGGAGCUGUGGUCCCGAGUGCCAGGGGCCGAGCGGGGCCGGCCGGACCGGGCAGGGCGGCCGGGAGAGGCCCCACCUCCUGGCCAGCCAGUUGUCCGUGGGCGACGGAGCCUCGGGCAGUGGAGAACAGGCUGCUGGCCCGGCCUGCCCCAGUGUGUCGGUGUUUGGUGCUGCCAGGGCCUCUCCUGCCCCAGGUUGAGUGGCUGCCAGGCUGUGGCCCAGCCUUCGGUGGAGACCCCCCGAGACCUGUCCACGGCUGCUGCCCGAGGCCAGAGGGAAUGCUGGGUGCUCUCCGGGUGGGCACUGGUGCUCCCGAGCCAAGUGGCGAAGAUUGGCGCACCCAGUCCCGGCCCAUCCCGGGGCCGUCGGAAGCUGCAAGCUGAUAUCCGUCCAGAUUUCCACGCAGCCUCCACCCCCUCAGAGCUCAGCUUUCCGGCCUGUGGUGGCAGCUCACGGAGCACCAGCGGGCACCUGACAAGGAGCUCACUGCCUGUGCGCGGACGGACGUGCUCCCCCAGGAUCCCGGGCCUCCGGGCGGCUGAGGCAUGA